AUUGAACGCUGGCGGCAGGCCUAACACAUGCAAGUCGAACGGUAGCACAGAGAGCUUGCUCUCGGGUGACGAGUGGCGGACGGGUGAGUAAUGUCUGGGAAACUGCCCGAUGGAGGGGGAUAACUACUGGAAACGGUAGCUAAUACCGCAUAACGUCGCAAGACCAAAGUGGGGGACCUUCGGGCCUCACACAAUCGGAUGUGCCCAGAUGGGAUUAGCUAGUAGGGGGGGUAAUAAUGCACCUAGGAGACGUACCCAAGCUGGUCUGAGAGGAUGACCAGCCAGACUGGAACUGGGACACGGUCCAGACUCCUACGGGAGGCAGCAGUGGGGAAUAUUGCACAAUGGGCGCAAGCCUGAUGCAGCCAUGCCGCGUGUAUGAAGAAGGCCUUCGGGUUGUAAAGUACUUUCAGCGGGGAGGAAGGCGGUGAAGUUAAUAACUUCACCGAUUGACGUUACCCGCAGAAGAAGCACCGGCUAACUCCGUGCCAGCAGCCGCCGUAA
rnacentral:rRNA from 1 species